rnacentral:lncRNA from 1 species
GUGGAGGAAAUCACUAGGAAGCUCAGUGAGCAGAGUCAAGAUUGUUGGCUGGUUAAUCCAUGGGGCUAUUGUAUUCAGCUGGAUGAUUACGGCAGCUAAGGUGAGGAUGGAGAUUGUGCACAGGUGCUAACGUCUUCAAGGAGGACUUGGAGGUUGAAGCAGCAAGAGUGGUGAAGCUGCAUGAUAUGAAUCUCAAAGUUCCAGAAAAGGAUUUGGAUGGAGCUGUUGGAAACCAGGAGGAUACUAAUCCAACUUCUUAGCCCACUGCUUAAGUACUGGAGGCGUGAGAGGGAAAACAAACAAAAAAGCACCUUGCCUGAGUAGGAUAAAGGAGAAAUCAUGUUUACUGGGAACAUCGAGGUUUCAGGGUCGUGACAAUUCAAAUUUUCCCCCUUGGAAGUACUACACUAGAAAUAGGCCAUAAAGAAGAAUUUUCAGGACAUAAAAUAGGGCAGAUUUGGAAUUAAGAGAUGCAGCAUUCAAUAAAGGUGGACCUUAUUUUACAUAUUCUGAUUAUUGUGCUUCAAGCAAUCUCUUCUUCUCAAGUUACUCCCACCACAUGGCCUAGUCAACUGCUACUGAGCUGGGAACCAGAAGACCCUAGCAAGACUACCGUAGAACUCGCAUUUUGAUUGCUUGGUCAGUGAUAUAUGGGAAGUCAUGAGUCACAGACUGGGUUGUCUGUGAAAAGAAGAAAGAAAGAAAAGAGAGAAGAGAAGAGAAGAGAAAAGAGAAAACAUGAACUGGGACCAAUUUUUGGAAAUGCCACAAACCACGCUGUUUUUAACAAUCAGCAUCUGUCUAAGCUGUCAGUUUACUGAAUGAAACAUUUCAUCAUUCUGGCUAUAUCCAAAAUCAAACUGGUGGCAAAUCCCCCUUUAGAGACCAAAUCUCCACUGAAUGGAUAAAGCUUAAGAAAGAAAAAGUAACAAGUCAUCUACAACAAGCUAUGGGAGAUUUAUUACCAAUGACAGGACACCCUGAACUAUCAAAGCUUAACUGAUAACCUAAUUGCAUAAAAAGAAGUCUUCAAAAUUGGAUCGUUCAUUGAUAUACAGGAAUCAUGAGCCCAAAAGUCAACUGAACAAGGAUGUUUGUGUUUACUGGUUACCUAUCAAUAUCUGUAGGAAAGCUAUAGAACUUCCCUAAACAUAUCUUAGAAAUAUAAACUGUUAAAUGAGGUACCGCCAAACCAAGACAGCCUACCCAUCAUUAUCAAGCUGGUUUUUGGGGAUAUUGUUGCUUCUAAGUCAAUGGUUAGGUAGAUAAAGCCUUUUUUCUGAGAUGUUGGAGCUCUAUGUCCUAGUGCCCAAGUAUAUUAUUAACUAAGAAAUUGUUCAUAAUUUUCAACAAGUUCCAGUUUUCUUUUGCAUGUGGAUACAUAUUUGUGGAAGUAGAGGGAUUUUGUGCUAAGAACUAUUCUGUUAGAGAUCUAGAUUUCUUAAAUCAUCUUAAAGAAAAUUUUCACCUUUAUCCUGCAAAAAACUCUUUUUCUAAAGUAACUUUGUCCUGUUAGAUUUUUUCCUCUUCAUCCUCGAGUUCACACUCUGAUAUAUGGGGUAAUGAAUAAUGACAUACACAAAAGUAAAAAAAUAAUGAAGACAAGCAGAGGUUUUAAAUUUUCCACAAGUUAGAUCCCUGUGAAACUAGGUGGUAAUAGAAUAAACAGUGGACAGUAUAUUUUACAUCCAGAACAAAAUUAAGACAAAUAGACCAGGAAAUAGGUGAUCUCUAUUUUUCUUCUUUUUGUUUUUUAACAAGAAAGCAAAUUUUAGUGUUAUAUAGUUAAUGACAGCAAUUAUAAUAAUAGUAAUAUCACAGACUAUGUGCUGUAACAACAUUGCAUUAUUGUAGAGGUCUUCAUAGUCAAUCAUCAUUUCUUAGAAAAUCUGAAGCAGUAGGUCAGCAUUCACAAUUUAAUUUUCUAGCAGUGGCUGAAACUCACAGGCACAGAGCAAUAAAGGAACAGACUAACAUCAUAACUCUUAGUUCUAUACUUGGCUCACUGGUUAUCCACAGUGAAGGUCUUUCCUCGUUCUCUCUCCAGCACCAACUAGAAUAAGGCUAUUUUGUUGCACAUAGAAUUGUGCAGCUAAAUUUCCAACCUCUUUGCAAAAUGUCAAAGCUUUCUAUGUCUGUAAGUUUUCCAGCUCCCUUCAUCUAUUUAGGUUUCUAUGCCUCCCAGCAGAGCUGUCAGAAGAAGUUAGUUUUUAAAAGAUUACACAGAAAUGGGAAAGCAAGAAGCCAGAACAAUCGAGUUACCAUCAUUGUUUAUUCAACCACGUAAGGGAGUGAUACUGUUGAGGAUCUUAGAAAAUGUUGGCUAGGAAAAGAGAGAGAAAAAGCUUUAGAUUUUGUUGAUUACCUAUAAAAGGGAGGCAUUCCCCCAUCUUCCAGCCAAGGAAUUCCUCUACAUGUAUUUUAUAAUUAAAGCUUAUUUCACGACGACAGAUUUUUUUUUCAGUUUUGCAUGGCCUGAAGUUUUUAUAAUUUGAGAG